UGGGGAAUAUUGCACAAUGGGGGAAACCCUGAUGCAGCGACGCCGCGUGAGCGAUGAAGGCUUUCGAGUCGUAAAGCUCUGUCCUAUGGGAAGAUAAUGACGGUACCAUAGAAGAAAGCCCCGGCUAAUUACGUGCCAGCAGCCGCGGUAAUAUGUAAGGGGCGAGCGUUGUCCGGAAUUAUUGGGCGUAAAGAGUGCGUAGGCGGCAAAUUAAGUCAGAUGUGAAAACUAAGGGCUCAACCCAUAGAUUGCAUCUGAAACUGAUAUGCUUGAGUCAAGGAGAGGAAAGUGGAAUUCCUAGUGUAGCGGUGGAAUGCGUAGAUAUUAGGAGGAAUACCGGUGGCGAAGGCGACUUUCUGGACUUGAACUGACGCUGAGGCACGAAAGCGUGGGGAGCAAACAGG
rnacentral:rRNA from 1 species